rnacentral:other from 1 species
UACAGCCUGCCUUGUGCGUAGAGAUUAUCAUGGUUUUGAUCCUAUUAAGUGACACGGGAAUCAAAUGCCAUGUUAGUACAGCAAGCCCUUUGACUAGGGAAGUUGGAAAGCAUGGACUAGGUGCCCACCUGCGAAAGCGGGGUCAGAAACCUGAAGUCUUACGGCAAGUUGGGGGAGGG